rnacentral:rRNA from 1 species
UACGGGGGGGGCAGGCGUUGUUCGGAAUUACUGGGCGUAAAGGGCUUGUAGGUGGCCAACUAAGUCAGACGUGAAAUCCCUCAGCUUAACUGGGGAACUGCGUCUGAUACUGGAUGGCUUGAGUUUGGGAGAGGGAUGCGGAAUUCCAGGUGUAGCGGUGAAAUGCGUAGAUAUCUGGAGGAACACCGGUGGCGAAGGCGGCAUCCUGGACCAACACUGACACUGAGGAGCGAAAGCCAGGGGAGCAAACGGG